rnacentral:rRNA from 1 species
UACGUAGGGGGCAAGCGUUGUCCGGAAUCAUUGGGCGUAAAGCGCGUGUAGGCGGCUUGAUAAGUCUGCUGUGAAAGUCCAGGGCUCAACCCUGGAAUGCCGGUGGAAACUGUCAAGCUAGAGUCCGGAAGAGGCGAGUGGAAUUCCUGGUGUAGCGGUGAAAUGCGCAGAUAUCAGGAGGAACACCAAUGGCGAAGGCAGCUCGCUGGGACGGUACUGACGCUGAGACGCGAAAGCGUGGGGAGCAAACAGG